rnacentral:rRNA from 1 species
AUUGAACGCUGGCGGCAGGCUUAACACAUGCAAGUCGAGCGGGGGAGGUUGCAUUGGUAACUGACCUAGCGGCGGACGGGUGAGUAAUGCUUAGGAAUCUGCCUAUUAGUGGGGGACAACAUUCCGAAAGGGAUGCUAAUACCGCAUACGCCCUACGGGGGAAAGCAGGGGAUCUUCGGACCUUGCGCUAAUAGAUGAGCCUAAGUCGGAUUAGCUAGUUGGUGGGGUAAAGGCCUACCAAGGCGACGAUCUGUAGCGGGUCUGAGAGGAUAAUCCGCCACACUGGGACGGAGACACGGCCCAGACUCCUACGGGAGGCAGCAGUGGGGAAUAUUGGACAAUGGCGGAAGCCUGAUCCAGCCAUGCCGCGUGUGUGAAGAAGGCCUUUUGGUUGUAAAGCACUUUAAGCGAGGAGGAGGCUCUUAAGGUUAAUACCCUUGAUGAGUGGACGUUACUCGCAGAAUAAGCACCGGCUAACUCUGUGCCAGCAGCCGCCGUAAAAC